rnacentral:rRNA from 1 species
AUUGAACGCUGGCGGAAUGCUUUACACAUGCAAGUCGAACGGCAGCACGGACUUCGGUCUGGUGGCGAGUGGCGAACGGGUGAGUAAUAUAUCGGAACGUGCCCAGUCGUGGGGGAUAACGUAGUGAAAAUUACGCUAAUACCGCAUACGAUCUACGGAUGAAAGCGGGGGAUCGCAAGACCUCGCGCGAUUGGAGCGGCCGAUAUCAGAUUAGGUAGUUGGUGGGGUAAAGGCUCACCAAGCCAACGAUCUGUAGCUGGUCUGAGAGGACGACCAGCCACACUGGAACUGAGACACGGUCCAGACUCCUACGGGAGGCAGCAGUGGGGAAUUUUGGACAAUGGACGCAAGUCUGAUCCAGCCAUUCCGCGUGCAGGACGAAGGCCUUCGGGUUGUAAACUGCUUUUGUACAGAACGAAAAGGUCUCUAUUAAUACUAGGGGCUCAUGACGGUACUGUAAGAAUAAGCACCGGCUAACUACGUGCCAGCAGCCGCGGUAAUACGUAGGGUGCAAGCGUUAAUCGGAAUUACUGGGCGUAAAGCGUGCGCAGGCGGUUAUGUAAGACAGAGGUGAAAUCCCCGGGCUCAACCUGGGAACUGCCUUUGUGACUGCAUAGCUGGAGUGCGGCAGAGGGGGAUGGAAUUCCGCGUGUAGCAGUGAAAUGCGUAGAUAUGCGGAGGAACACCGAUGGCGAANGCAAUCCCCUGGGCCUGCACUGACGUUCAUGCACGAAAGCGUGGGGAGCAAACAGGAUUAGAUACCCUGGUAGUCCACGCCCUAAACGAUGUCAACUGGUUGUUGGGUCUUCACUGACUCANUAACGAAGCUAACGCGUGAAGUUGACCGCCUGGGGAGUANGGCCGCAAGGUUGAAACUC